rnacentral:rRNA from 1 species
GUCCACGCCGUAAACGAUGCGCACUAGAUACGAGUGACUCUGACGUUGUUCGUGUCGAAACAAAAGCGUUAAGUGCGCCGCCUGGGGAGUACGGCCGCAAGGCUAAAACUCAAAGGAAUUGACGGGGGCUCACACAAGCGGUGGAGCAUGUGGAUUAAUUCGAAGCAACGCGAAGAACCUUACCUAGGUUUGACAUGCACGGAUGCUCUUGGCGAAAGUCGAGUAGGCUGCCUUCGGGUGAAACGUGCACAGGUGCUGCAUGGCUGUCGU